AACUGGGCGUUAAGUUGCAGGGUAUAGACCCGAAACCCGGUGAUCUAGCCAUGGGCAGGUUGAAGGUUGGGUAACACUAACUGGAGGACCGAACCGACUAAUGUUGAAAAAUUAGCGGAUGACUUGUGGCUGGGGGGGAAAGGCCAAUCAAACCGGGAGAUAGCUGGUUCUCCCCGAAAGCUAUUUAGGUAGCGCCUCGUGAACUCAUCUCCGGGGGUAGAGCACUGUUUCGGCAAGGGGGUCAUCCCGACUUACCAACCCGAUGCAAACUGCGAAUACCGGAGAAUGUUAUCACGGGAG
rnacentral:rRNA from 1 species